GUCGGUGACCAAACGUGAGGAAAACACCCGUUCCCAUCCCGAACACGGUCGUAAAGACUCAUAGUGGCGACAAUACUUGGGGGGCCACCCCCUGGGAAGAUAGCUAGUUGCCGACG
rnacentral:rRNA from 1 species